AGUAAUGCAUCGGAACGUGUCCCGUAGUGGGGGAUAACCCGGCGAAAGCCGGACUAAUACCGCAUAUGCUCUACGGAGGAAAGCGGGGGAUUCGCAAGAACCUCGCGCUAUGGGAGCGGCCGAUGUCCGAUUAGCUUGUUGGUGGGGUAAUGACUUACCAAGGCGACGAUCGGUAGCUGGUCUGAGAGGAUGAUCAGCCACACUGGGACUGAGACACGGCCCAG
rnacentral:rRNA from 1 species